UACAGAGGGUGCACGCGUUAAUCGGAAUUACUGGGCGUAAAGCGCGCGUAGGCGGCUGCUUAAGUCGGAUGUGAAAUCCCCGGGCUUAACCUGGGAACUGCAUUCGAUACUGAGCAGCUAGAGUAUGAGAGAGGGAGGUAGAAUUCCACGUGUAGCGGUGAAAUGCGUAGAUAUGUGGAGGAAUACCGGUGGCGAAGGCGGCCUCCUGGCUUAAUACUGACGCUGAGGUGCGAAAGCGUGGGGAGCAAACAGG
rnacentral:rRNA from 1 species